rnacentral:rRNA from 1 species
AUCGAACGCUGGCGGCAGGCCUAACACAUGCAAGUCGAACGAGUGGCGGACGGGUGAGUAAUGUCUGGGAAACUGCCCGAUGGAGGGGGAUAACUACUGGAAACGGUAGCUAAUACCGCAUACCAUCGGAUGAGCCCAGAUGGGAUUAGCUAGUAGGUGGGGUAAAGGCUCACAUAGGCGACGAUCCCUAGCUGGUCUGAGAGGAUGCCCAGCCACAAGGGGACUGAGACACGGCCCAGACUCCUACGGGAGGCAGCGGUGGGGAAUAGUGCAAAAGGGGCGCAAGCCUGAUGCAGCCAUGCCGCGUGUAUGAAGAAGGCCUUAGGGUUGAAAAGUACUUUCAGCGGGGAGGCGUUACUCGCAGAAGAAGCACCGGCUAACUCCGUGCCAGCCGCCGCGGUAAGAC